UUCCCUUCGGAGCUCUGUGACCUUGGACAAGUUUCCACCCUGAAUCCCUGUAUCCUCCUCUGUAAAGUGAGAUGGUAGGUAAUGGCCACCGUCAAAGGAUCUCCACUGAAACUCUGGGAAAGGAGCCCACCUAAAGGAAGGGUCACUGCUGGGGACAACCCUCCAGGGAGCAAUCCAGAGACUGACACCUGGUCAAGGAGCCCAUCGCAGGGUCUGAAAAGUGUACGACUGACCUCUAGCCAUUUCCAGUCCACCUCCCCAAAGCCCACUUCUCCCUGCCCCUCUGUCAUGCCCCUCAGGAAGGAGCACUGGGCUUCUUACAAAGUGGAAGAAGCCGCGGGUGAAGCUCAAGGGCUAGG
ensembl:lncRNA